AGAGUUUGAUCCUGGCUCAGGAUGAACGCUAGCUACAGGCUUAACACAUGCAAGUCGAGGGGCAGCAUGUUGGUUGCUUGCAACCAACGAUGGCGACCGGCGCACGGGUGAGUAACGCGUAUCCAACCUACCCUUGUCCAUCGGAUAACCCGUCGAAAGGCGGCCUAACACGAUAUGCGGUUCACGGCAGGCAUCUAAGGUGAGCGAAAUGUGAAGGAGAAGGAUGGGGAUGCGUCUGAUUAGCUUGUUGGCGGGGUAACGGCCACCAAGGCUACGAUCAGUAGGGGUUCGUGAGAGGAAGGUCCCCCACAUUGGAACUGAGACACGGUCCAAACUCCUACGGGAGGCA
rnacentral:rRNA from 1 species